GAUGAAGAACGUAGCGAAAUGCGAUAAGUAAUGUGAAUUGCAGAAUUCAGUGAAUCAUCGAAUCUUUGAACGCACAUUGCGCCCACCAGUAUUCUGGCGGGCAUGCCUGUCCGAGCGUCAUUUCAACCCUCGCGCCCAUCUGGGCUGCGGUGUUGGGGACCGGCCUGCCCCCCGGGGCGCGCCGCCCCCCAAAUUCAGUGGCGGUCUCGCUGCAGCCUCCCUUGCGUAGUAGCACACCUCGCACCGGAGCGCAGCGCGGCCACGCCGUAAAACCCCCGACCCCCAUGAGUUUGACCUCGGAUCAGGUAGGAAUACCCGCUGAACUUAAGCAUAUCAAUAAGCGGAGGA
rnacentral:misc_RNA from 1 species